rnacentral:hammerhead_ribozyme from 1 species
AUUCAGUUGACGAGUCCCAAAGAAGACGACGAAACGUGUGUCCUGGAU